rnacentral:lncRNA from 1 species
CUCCAUCAGCAAGCUCCAGUGCUACGUGUCCCUGGCAUUUUAGGUGUCGGUUGGGUAGAAUUCCAGAAGAUUGCCAUGGCAACAGCAAUAGGAUUUGCUAUAAUGGGAUUCAUUGGCUUCUUUGUGAAAUUGAUCCAUAUUCCUAUUAAUAACAUCAUUGUGUAAGUAAACUUUAUGAAAUAGACUAGGAUUGAAUGAAACUCAAAACCAUUUGAGAUGACAGGCUGUUAUUUCGUUAAUAUAGAGAUGCAUCUCUUGACUUUUUAGUGCUGUUGGAGUCUACUGAUAUUUACGAGUACCUGAUAAUUGAGGGCUUUUAGAUCUUACAUGAUCUGUCCAGAAAUUCUGUGUGCUAGGCACUAUUUUCUUUAAUAAAUAAAAUUUUACAGAGUCAAGAAAGUAUUAAAGACACUCAUAUGUCACAAAGCCAGCAUUGA